AACGGACGCUGGCGGCAUGCCUAACACAUGCAAGUCGAACGAGACCUUCGGGUCUAGUGGCGCACGGGUGCGUAACGCGUGGGAACCUGCCCUUAGGUUCGGAAUAACUCCCCGAAAGGGGUGCUAAUACCGGAUAAUGUCUUCGGACCAAAGAUUUAUCGCCUUUGGAUGGGCCCGCGUUGGAUUAGCUAGUUGGUAGGGUAAAAGCCUACCAAGGCGACGAUCCAUAGCUGGUCUGAGAGGAUGAUCAGCCACACUGGGACUGAGACACGGCCCAGACUCCUACGGGAGGCAGCAGUGGGGAAUAUUGGAAAAUGGGGGAAAGCAUGAUCCAGCAAUGCCGCGUGAGUGCUGAAGGCAUUAGGGUUGUAAAGCUCUUUUACCCGGGAUGAUAAUGACAGUACCGGGAGAAUAAGCUCCGGCUAACUCCGUG
rnacentral:rRNA from 1 species